rnacentral:rRNA from 1 species
CGUGUAGGCGGACUCGCAAGUCGGUUGUGAAAUCCCUGGGCUCAACCUAGGAACUGCAUCCGAAACUGCUUGUCUUUGAGUAAUGGAGAGGGUGGCGGAAUUCCCGGUGUAGAGGUGAAAUUCGUAGAUAUCGGGAGGAACAUCAGUGGCGAAGGCGGCCACCUGGACAUUUACUGACGCUGAGACGCGAAAGCGUGGGGAGCAAACA